UCUCUUGCUCUCCAGUUUCGUGCACCGCGUCGUUGGUUAGCGACGAGCGCACUACAAAAA
rnacentral:snoRNA from 1 species